GAUGAACGCUGGCGGCGUGCCUAAUACAUGCCAGUCGAGCGAACAGACGAGGAGCUUGCUCCUCUGACGUUAGCGGCGGACGGGUGAGUAACACGUGGAUAACCUACCUAUAAGACUGGGAUAACUUCGGAAAACCGGAGCUAAUACCGGAUAAUAUAUUGAACCGCAUGGUUCAAUAGUGAAAGACGGUUUUGCUGUCACUUAUAGAUGGAUCCGCGCCGCAUUAGCUAGUUGGUAAGGUAACGGCUUACCAAGGCAACGAUGCGUAGCCGACCUGAGAGGGUGAUCGGCCACACUGGAACUGAGACACGGUCCAGACUCCUACGGGAGGCAGCAGUAGGGAAUCUUCCGCAAUGGGCGAAAGCCUGACGGAGCAACGCCGCGUGAGUGAUGAAGGUCUUCGGAUCGUAAAACUCUGUUAUUAGGGAAGAACAAAUGUGUAAGUAACUAUGCACGUCUUGACGGUACCUAAUCAGAAAGCCACGGCUAACUACGUG
rnacentral:rRNA from 1 species